GACGGGGGAUGCGAGCGUUAUCCGGAAUGAUUGGGCGUAAAGGGUCCGCAGGUGGCCCGGUCAGUCCGCUGUCAAAGCCUGGGGCUCAACCCUGGAGAGGCGGCGGAGACCACCGGGCUUGAGUCCGGUAGGGGCAGAGGGAAUUCCCGGUGGAGCGGUGAAAUGUGUAGAGAUCGGGAAGAACGCCAAGGGCGAAGGCACUCUGCUAGGCCUGAUUUCGCGACUGACACUCAGGGACGAGAGCCAGGGGAGCGAAUGGG
rnacentral:rRNA from 1 species